UUAUGUUCUUGUAAACAUAAGCAAUUAUAAAUAUAGAACAUAUUUAUAUUUUCUUUUUUUCAAACUCAUGAUACAGAAUGGGAUGGAAAGGUAAAGAAAAGUAAUUCACAAGGUAGAGAUUCAUUAGUUGAAGCUUUUCAGUUGCAUAACAAGGGUCCUGAGCAACAGCUGCUGGUAUGGCAAUGCUUUGUAAUCACCAUGAUGAGUUACCAGGGGGUGCUUGCAAGCACCCUUUCUCACAAUCACCCUAUUACCCAGCUUUGGUUCUUCAUAGCACUUAUCGUAUCUGAAAUUAUAACUUACGUAUUCAAUUGUCUGGUUAUGACUGUCUUCCCCUAGGAGAAUGUUGACUUCCUGACAGUGGAUAACAUGUCUGUGCUUUCAGCCCCUAGAACAUGCCUGACACACAGUAGGUGCUCAGAUUUGUUUUAUGAAUUGAGGGAGGCAGAAAAGCAGGCAGGCAGGUUAAUAUAUACCUAUAGUGUCACUUAGGAUUAUGGUUCAACUAGAGAAUGAUUCAGUGCCAAUCACAUGGAACUGGAUACAAAUUUAGUAGGAAAUGAUACAGAUAAGAGAGCCAAAGAGAAAGAGGUAUGAAAUUCAAGCUCAACCAUAAAGAUGGGAAGGGCUUGGUGAAGUUAGACAAGGAAACAAGCAUGGUGCUAAGCACUGAGGAUACAAUGACUUAAAGAAAAAGGCCUGGACUUUGCUCUCAUGAAGCUUAUAAUCUGAUGGUGAAGACAGGUAUCAAAGAAAUAAACAAAUGAAAUGCAAAACCGCAAUUGUGACAAGUGUUAUGAAAGAGUGGAAUGUGAUGUUAGAGGAGCAGGUAAUAGGGUGACCCAAACUUAUUGGACAGUUAUGGAAGGCUUUUCUCAGCUGAGAUGAAAGGAAGGGGGAGUUACCAGGUAAAGAGGGUGGAACAGCACACACAGAGUGCAGGAGACUGAAGGCAGUGCCUGUUGCUGGAGCAGAGAGUGGGGGAGAUGGUGGGAGAGGAGCUACCCAGCACCUGAUAAGGAAAUCUCUCUUGAUCCUUAGGGCAGAGUGUAAAGCACGGCUGUAAUGGUUCUGAUUGCUUUUCAGGGAUUCUGAAUCAUGUUUACUCUCUUUUCCUUACUUUUCUAUAUUUACAAGGUAGUCUACCAGGAAGAUGUGUUAUUUAAUAAUUAAAAAAGGGAUACUUUAUGAAAGACAGUGGUGGCAUUAUAUGCCUACUCUGGCCUUUCCGACUUGCCCUCUUCUUUCCCAGGUUUACAGAAUAUUAAUGAAGGUGUCUCACUUUCAGAGCUGACCCCAGGUGCUGGUCUCAGCCUGGCCUAGGUAAGGGACAUCCUGGCUGAUGUGGUCCCCAAGUCCCAGAGAACACACAGACACAUCAUGCUCCCUUGAAGCACCUGAGAACCCUGGCUGGACAAUAGAUCAUGAACGUGGCGGCAGUCAACUGUUAGCAGAAUUUCAACUUCUGAUCUCAUUCCUGCUUUGGGUGUAGGCAAUUGCGUACUCAACCUUGCUUCAAAAGGCGAUUUGUGUGGGUCAGAUUUUCUGCACUGUGGCUGCUGACAGACAUGAUCAUGCCAAGCAGGCCACAAAAGCGGUGAAGAUUGUGUACCAAGACGUGGAGCCUAUAAUUGUGAACAUUCAGAUCUGGCUGCCCAAUCCAUUUUAUUCUGGAACAUGGGGACAACAUGUUGAUAACUGGAGGAUGGCACCCACUACCUGG